UAUAUUUUCUCAAAAGUGAAAGAAGAUUACUGACAGAGCAACUCUUUAUUUUGUUCAAGAUCUCCAACUGCACCCACAGAAAAAAGAUGCAGAGGUUGAACCCUACUGUACCUGGCCUAAAUUCUGGGCUAGAUUAAGGAUAGAUAGAAGCAGAAGGCUUUUCCGAGUUUAACAUAUCUUGGGAGAAUUUGACCCUUGGAGUUCAGAAAAGAAGUGAGGAUAGUGGUGUAACUAAAUUGAA